rnacentral:rRNA from 1 species
AUUGAACGCUGGCGGCAGGCCUAACACAUGCAAGUCGAGCGGAUGAGGGUAGCUUGCUACCUGAUUCAGCGGCGGACGGGUGAGUAAUGCCUAGGAAUCUGCCCGAUAGUGGGGGACAACGUUUCGAAAGGAACGCUAAUACCGCAUACGUCCUACGGGAGAAAGUGGGGGAUCUUCGGACCUCACGCUGUCGGAUGAGCCUAGGUCGGAUUAGCUAGUUGGUGAGGUAAUGGCUCACCAAGGCUACGAUCCGUAACUGGUCUGAGAGGAUGAUCAGUCACAGUGGAACUGAGACACGGUCCAGACUCCUACGGGAGGCAGCAGUGGGGAAGAUUGGACAACGGGCGAAAGCCUGAUCCAGCCAUGCCGCGUGUGUGAAGAAGGUCUUCGGAUUGUAAAGCACUUUAAGUUGGGAGGAAGGGCUGUAGGCUAAUAUCCUGCAGUUUUGACGUUACCAACAGAAUAAGCACCGGCUAACUUCGUGCCAGCCGCCGCAGUAA